AGAGUUUGAUCCUGGCUCAGGAUGAACGCUAGCGGCAGGCUUAACACAUGCAAGUCGAGGGGUAUGCCGAUUUAUCGGCAGAGACCGGCGCACGGGUGCGUAACGCGUAUGCAAUCUGCCUUUCACAGAGGGAUAGCCCAGAGAAAUUUGGAUUAAUACCUCAUAGCAUAAUCAAACCGCAUGGUUCGAUUAUUAAAGUCACAACGGUGAAAGAUGAGCAUGCGUCCCAUUAGCUAGUUGGUAAGGUAACGGCUUACCAAGGCAACGAUGGGUAGGGGUCCUGAGAGGGAGAUCCCCCACACUGGUACUGAGACACGGACCAGACUCCUACGGGAGGCAGCAGUGAGGAAUAUUGGUCAAUGGGCGCAAGCCUGAACCAGCCAUGCCGCGUGCAGGAUGACGGUCCUAUGGAUUGUAAACUGCUUUUGUACGGGAAGAAACACUCCGACGUGUCGGAGCUUGACGGUACCGUAAGAAUAAGGAUCGGCUAACUCCGUGCCAGCCGCCGCGGUAAUAC
rnacentral:rRNA from 1 species